CCUACGGGUGGCAGCAGUGGGGAAUAUUGCGCAAUGGGCGAAAGCCUGACGCAGCGACGCCGCGUGAGGGAUGAAGGUCUUCGGAUCGUAAACCUCUGUCAGCAGGGAAGAACGGUCACUGUGCUAAUCAGCAGUGAAUUGACGGUACCUGCAAAGGAAGCACCGGCUAACUCCGUGCCAGCAGCCGCGGUAAUACGGAGGGUGCGAGCGUUAAUCGGAAUUACUGGGCGUAAAGGGUGUGCAGGCGGUUUUGCAAGAUGGAUGUGAAAGCCCCGGGCUUAACCUGGGAAAGCCAUACAUGACUGCAAGACUAGAGUGCGUCAGAGGGGGGUGGAAUUCCAAGUGUAGCAGUGAAAUGCUUAGAUAUCACGAAGAACUCCGAUUGCGAAGGCAGCUCACUGGACUGCAACUGACACUGAGGCUCGAAAGUGUGGGUAUCAAACAGGAUUAGAUACCCUUGUAGUC
rnacentral:rRNA from 1 species